rnacentral:rRNA from 1 species
AUGGAGCUGUGGUUCAUGUCGGUGUGGGGAGACCGACCUGUGCGCAACGUGGAACUCUUGAGCCAAAAGAUCCAGGAGCGCGCCUGUCACCUCAUCGUCGUGGGGCGAGAAUUCUCCGAACCCGCCGCCGCCAGCUUGGUGUGCAUCGCCAACGAGGCCGCUUUGGCUUGUGAGCUGCUGACACGUGGGGCUGAAGCCACCGACGUGGAGAUCAAACUAUGCAACUGCAUCCGCCAGUGCGCGCUGAGUCUUAUGUACAUGAUGACAGGGCCGCGUUCCGAUGCCUCCGCUGCUGCUAUGGUGGGUGUUGCCAAGGAGGCCAGAAGGAUGUGUGAGUGGAUGAGGAAUGUGAACCAACUAUAUGCUUUCCAAGGUUACUCUGAAAUCCACAAGAUGGGUCAGUGCGAUGUGAUCCGGAUUCCCACUUUUUAUCUUUUCAAGUAUAUACUGUCGAAUAUUACAGGGGAAAGAGAACCGUUUGUGCUUAUGGAUUUUGGAAAGAAGAGGGACAAGGCACAAGCGUAA